UACGAAGGGGGCUAGCGUUGCUCGGAAUCACUGGGCAUAAAGCGCACGUAGGCGGCUUUCUAAGUCAGGGGUGAAAUCCUGGAGCUCAACUCCAGAACUGCCUUUGAUACUGGAAAGCUUGAGUCCGGGAGAGGUGAGUGGAACUGCGAGUGUAGAGGUGAAAUUCGUAGAUAUUCGCAAGAACACCAGUGGCGAAGGCGGCUCACUGGCCCGGUACUGACGCUGAGGUGCGAAAGCGUGGGGAGCAAACAGG
rnacentral:rRNA from 1 species